rnacentral:pre_miRNA from 1 species
UAUAAGGGAUUUUGAGUUUUUGCUUGCAAUGUUUGACCAUUCGUCUUAUUCAAAUUUUUUUAAAAUUAUUAUUUAUUUUAUUUGUGACUUACUUUAUUAUCUAUAGUAUUUUAAGCACAACUUUUUAUUUUUUAUAUUUGCAAAAAAAAAUUUAAAUAAGACGAGUGGUCAAAUGUUGUAAUCAAAGACUCAAAAUCCCUUGUAUC